rnacentral:ncRNA from 1 species
GAUUAAUGAAAUGGUAAUAAAUAUUGAUCCGAACUAUAGAAUAAGAGAGCAUAUCCGCUGAAUUUAAGCAUAUAAUUAAGCGGAAGAAAAGAAAAUAACAAUGAUUCCUUUAGUAACGGCGAGUGAACAAGGAAAAGCUCAAAAGGAAAAUCCGCGCGUGGCGAAAACUACGGUGUGGAAUUGUCUGGUUGGGGUUUAAUAUUCUCCCUAUGCUUUGUUAGGUUACGAAAUUAGUAGGAAUACUAUUCCAUAGAGGGUGAAAGGCCCGUAGUUCCCUACAAUUAUAGAUGGAGUAUUCCCUGUUUUUUUGUUCUCCUCGACACCGGAGCGCCGAUCUGCGUGUUUAUUUGUCCCGUGAGGACUGAUGGGUCGAUGCACUGUCCCCAGCGACACCCGGCCGUUGUGGGCCCCCCCCCCUCGAGCGCUCAACCCCCCCCUCGCGCGCCCCGCUUGGCAUC